rnacentral:lncRNA from 1 species
CCUCUCUGCCCCUCCAGUGAGGCUGUGGACUGCAGCUGCAGACACCCCACAGCACCCUGGAGCGGCACGGUGUGACAAUUCUGUGAUUCCGUGGUUCUGUGACUGCCCGGACCUGGAGCUGGAGGAGCAGGCGAGGGCAACACGGAGGGCCGGGCCGGGUGCGGACACCGCCUGCAGACAUCGCCCCAGCUCCACCCUGGGCAGCAAUCACUGCCCUAAUGCUCCUCUCCAGGCCCUCCCCGUCGCACCAGCACACCCCCCCGUCGGAUCUGCGGGGCACUGUGGGGUGGCUGUGUAGGACGUGGGCACGCGGCAGUGCCCGCAGGAAGGGUCCGUGACCCCGCAAGGAUGGCGCUGCCCUGACACUGCAGGCCUGAGCAUGGGCUUGCACAUGGGAAGCCUCUUGGAAGUACACGUUAUUAGAAUAUGGGUGGUGACUGAGGGCCCCCAAAAGGGAAUUUUUUGACUGAAAAAUGUGGUUGUGUCCAGGACUGGAAUGCCAUUAAAGUCCGAUCUCUAUGAAAUGUUGCAUGUGUCCAUGAUUUAUCUAUAUGGGCUUUGAAUUCUUGAGGCUACAGCUUUUAAUCAGUGCUAUUUGCAUUACAUAACAUCUUUUAUUUUCAGUCUGAGUUUUGUUUUAAUGAGUGUUUUGUUAAACACAUCAAUGGCGACUCUUCUCUGCCA